UUAAGUUAUUAAGGGCGCACGGUGGAUGCCUUGGCACUAGAAGCCGAUGAAGGACGUUACUAACGACGAUAUGCUUUGGGGAGCUGUAAGUAAGCUUUGAUCCAGAGAUUUCCGAAUGGGGAAACCCAGCAUGAGUUAUGUCAUGUUAUCGAUAUGUGAAUACAUAGCAUAUCAGAAGGCACACCCGGAGAACUGAAACAUCUUAGUACCCGGAGGAAGAGAAAGAAAAUUCGAUUCCCUUAGUAGCGGCGAGCGAAACGGGAAGAGCCCAAACCAACAAGCUUGCUUGUUGGGGUUGUAGGACACUCUAUACGGAGUUACAAAGGACGACAUUAGACGAAUCAUCUGGAAAGAUGAAUCAAAGAAGGUAAUAAUCCUGUAGUCGAAAAUGUUGUCUCUCUUGAGUGGAUCCUGAGUACGACGGAGCACGUGAAAUUCCGUCGGAAUCUGGGAGGACCAUCUCCUAAGGCUAAAUACUCUCUAGUGACCGAUAGUGAACCAGUACCGUGAGGGAAAGGUGAAAAGCACCCCGGAAGGGGAGUGAAAUAGAACCUGAAACCGUGUGCUUACAAGUAGUCAGAGCCCGUUAAUGGGUGAUGGCGUGCCUUUUGUAGAAUGAACCGGCGAGUUACGAUUUGAUGCAAGGUUAAGCAGUAAAUGUGGAGCCGUAGCGAAAGCGAGUCUGAAUAGGGCGUUUAGUAUUUAGUCGUAGACCCGAAACCAGGUGAUCUACCCUUGGUCAGGUUGAAGUUCAGGUAACACUGAAUGGAGGACCGAACCGACUUACGUUGAAAAGUGAGCGGAUGAACUGAGGGUAGCGGAGAAAUUCCAAUCGAACUUGGAGAUAGCUGGUUCUCUCCGAAAUAGCUUUAGGGCUAGCCUCAAGUGAUGAUUAUUGGAGGUAGAGCACUGUUUGGACGAGGGGCCCCUCUCGGGUUACCGAAUUCAGACAAACUCCGAAUGCCAAUUAAUUUAACUUGGGAGUCAGAACAUGGGUGAUAAGGUCCGUGUUCGAAAGGGAAACAGCCCAGACCACCAGCUAAGGUCCCAAAAUAUAUGUUAAGUGGAAAAGGAUGUGGCGUUGCCCAGACAACUAGGAUGUUGGCUUAGAAGCAGCCAUCAUUUAAAGAGUGCGUAAUAGCUCACUAGUCGAGUGACACUGCGCCGAAAAUGUACCGGGGCUAAACAUAUUACCGAAGCUGUGGAUUGUCCUUUGGACAAUGGUAGGAGAGCGUUCUAAGGGCGUUGAAGCAUGAUCGUAAGGACAUGUGGAGCGCUUAGAAGUGAGAAUGCCGGUGUGAGUAGCGAAAGACGGGUGAGAAUCCCGUCCACCGAUUGACUAAGGUUUCCAGAGGAAGGCUCGUCCGCUCUGGGUUAGUCGGGUCCUAAGCUGAGGCCGACAGGCGUAGGCGAUGGAUAACAGGUUGAUAUUCCUGUACCACCUAUAAUCGUUUUAAUCGAUGGGGGGGACGCAGUAGGAUAGGCGAAGCGUGCGAUUGGAUUGCACGUCUAAGCAGUAAGGCUGAGUAUUAGGCAAAUCCGGUACUCAUUAAGGCUGAGCUGUGAUGGGGAGAAGACAUUGUGUCUUCGAGUCGUUGAUUUCACACUGCCGAGAAAAGCCUCUAGAUAGAAAAUAGGUGCCCGUACCGCAAACCGACACAGGUAGUCAAGAUGAGAAUUCUAAGGUGAGCGAGCGAACUCUCGUUAAGGAACUCGGCAAAAUGACCCCGUAACUUCGGGAGAAGGGGUGCUCUUUAGGGUUAACGCCCAGAAGAGCCGCAGUGAAUAGGCCCAAGCGACUGUUUAUCAAAAACACAGGUCUCUGCUAAACCGUAAGGUGAUGUAUAGGGGCUGACGCCUGCCCGGUGCUGGAAGGUUAAGAGGAGUGGUUAGCUUCUGCGAAGCUACGAAUCGAAGCCCCAGUAAACGGCGGCCGUAACUAUAACGGUCCUAAGGUAGCGAAAUUCCUUGUCGGGUAAGUUCCGACCCGCACGAAAGGCGUAACGAUUUGGGCACUGUCUCAACGAGAGACUCGGUGAAAUCAUAGUACCUGUGAAGAUGCAGGUUACCCGCGACAGGACGGAAAGACCCCGUGGAGCUUUACUGUAGCCUGAUAUUGAAAUUCGGCACAGCUUGUACAGGAUAGGU
rnacentral:rRNA from 1 species